rnacentral:tRNA from 1 species
AUAUUUAUAGUUUAUAAAAAACAUUACAUUUUCACUGUAAAAUUAGAUUGCAUAAAAUCUUUAA